rnacentral:rRNA from 1 species
GACGAACGCUGGCGGCGUGCUUAACACAUGCAAGCCGAACGGAAAGGCCCUGCUUUUGUGGGGUGCUCGAGUGGCGAACGGGUGAGUAACACGUGAGUAAUCUGCCCUUGACUUUGGGAUAACUUCAGGAAACUGGGGCUAAUACCGGAUAGGAGCUCCUGCUGCAUGGUGGGGGUUGGAAAGUUUCGGCGGUUGGGGAUGGACUCGCGGCUUAUCAGCUUGUUGGUGGGGUAGUGGCUUACCAAGGCUUUGACGGGUAGCCGGCCUGAGAGGGUGACCGGCCACAUUGGGACUGAGAUACGGCCCAGACUCCUACGGGAGGCAGCAGUGGGGAAUAUUGCACAAUGGGCGGAAGCCUGAUGCAGCAACGCCGCGUGCGGGAUGACGGCCUUCGGGUUGUAAACCGCUUUCGCCUGUGACGAAGCGUGAGUGACGGUAAUGGGUAAAGAAGCACCGGCUAACUACGUG